CACGUAGGGUGCGAGUGUUGUCCGGAAUUAUUGGGCGUAAAGAGCUCGUAGGCGGUGUGUCGCGUCGGCCGUGAAAACCUGUGGCUUAACCAUGGGCUUGCGGUCGAUACGGGCAGACUAGAGUUCGGUAGGGGAGUCUGGAAUUCCUGGUGUAGCGGUGAAAUGCGCAGAUAUCAGGAGGAACACCGGUGGCGAAGGCGGGACUCUGGGCCGAUACUGACGCUGAGGAGCGAAAGCGUGGGGAGCGAACAGG
rnacentral:rRNA from 1 species